rnacentral:rRNA from 1 species
UACGUAGGGUGCAAGCGUUGUCCGGAAUUAUUGGGCGUAAAGAGCUCGUAGGCGGUCUGUUGCGUCAGCUGUGAAAACCCGGGGCUCAACCCCGGGCCUGCAGCCGAUACGGGCAGACUAGAGUUCGGCAGGGGAGACUGGAAUUCCUGGUGUAGCGGUGAAAUGCGCAGAUAUCAGGAGGAACACCGGUGGCGAAGGCGGCGCUCUGGGCCGGAACUGACGCUGAGGAGCGAAAGCGUGGGUAGCAAACAGG